rnacentral:rRNA from 1 species
AUUGAACGCUGGCGGCAUGCUUUACACAUGCAAGUCGAACGGUAACAGGCCGCAAGGUGCUGACGAGUGGCGAACGGGUGAGUAAUGCAUCGGAACGUGCCCAGUCGUGGGGGAUAACGCAGCGAAAGCUGCGCUAAUACCGCAUACGAUCUAUGGAUGAAAGCGGGGGACCGUAAGGCCUCGCGCGAUUGGAGCGGCCGAUGUCAGAUUAGGUAGUUGGUGAGGUAAAGGCUCACCAAGCCGACGAUCUGUAGCUGGUCUGAGAGGACGACCAGCCACACUGGGACUGAGACACGGCCCAGACUCCUACGGGAGGCAGCAGUGGGGAAUUUUGGACGAGGGGGGCAACCCUGAUCCAGCAAUGCCGCGUGCAGGAAGAAGGCCUUCGGGUUGUAAACUGCUUUUGUACGGAACGAAACGGCUCUGGUUAAUACCUGGGGCUAAUGACGGUACCGUAAGAAUAAGCACCGGCUAACUACGUGCCAGCCGCCGCCGUAAAAC